AUUUUUGUCAGACAAAAUUGACAUGUUCAACAUUUUCAAAUUUUUUUUUUAAAUUUAGUAAAAAUUGUAAUUAUAUAAAAAAAGUUUAAUUAUGGAAAAAUCAAAUUUAAAAGUAUUAUUUCUAAAUAUAUUCUCUGUAUUAUUUAUUGCUGCAAGUUCAUCUAUUCGAAGUCUGCAAUACAACUUAAUUGAAAUCGAAACAACAAUGAAAAAUGCGGGUUUAAAUAUACCUUUAGUUCCUGAAAUGCUUACAUUGAUUCUAUCAUGUUUUGUGAUUUUUAAAUUUAUUUUAAGCUAUUUAAGUUUAGCUGCUCAUGUUGUGGCUUUGUAAGAAUAUUAACUUAUAUUUACUAUUUUUAUCUGCUAACUUCUAAUUUAAAGAUAUCCAAUUUUAAACUACAACUUGAGUGAUCUUUUGAUACCAACAAUUCUAUUUCAAGUUAUUCAAAAUGUUUUAUUGAAUAUAAUCGAAUUAUGGUUUGGAUAUUUUACUUGUCAUUACUAUUUGGACAAAGCUGCAACAGCUUGUUAUGUUUUCUAUUUCAAAAUGAUAACAAAAACUUUAAUGGGAGUCGUUAUGUUAAAUAUAUUUUGGAAGCAUUACAAUAACUUGAGAUAUCCUCAAUGGAAUGUAAUACCAACUCGUACAUUUUUUAAAAGAAUAUCAAACAAUCAAUCAAUAAAAGAUGAAGAAGAGAAUAUUCAAAAUAGUCUGAUUUAUCAAACAUAUGAUACAGAAACCGAUAGUGAAGGAUCUGUGUCUUUUUGAAUAGAUGGAUAUACAUACUAAUUUGUACACUUUUUGUUUGUUGUAAGUAUUUACUUUAAUCAAUGCUUUACUUCACUCUAUUCUAUUCCAAUCUAAUCUACUAUAACCUCUGCCCCUUGGUUCAAGUGUUGAAGACAUCUUUUUAAAAACAGUGUCUAGAUCCUUCUUACCAAAACUGCACUCGAAAUUCUGUUUGUUUUUAAAUAGUGUAUUCUAAAAGCAAAGUUUCAGACUAACGUUUAAUGUAUGCCGAGUCAUGGUAGCAAAGUUUUACGCUACAACAUGAUGACUAAAAGGAGUCUUCAUAAAUCAGCAAUGAAAGAUUUGAAUAUUUAAGCCUAGUACACAAAUUGAGCUAAAUUUUUGCUCCCAUACAAAAUUCUCUCCAAAUUUUAGCUGACUUAAGGAUUUUCAUGCGAUUUCUGAGCAGUUAUACUGGAAUAAAGUUUUUCAAAUGCAUAAAAUCUACUUUCUUACUUACCGGUGGAAUUUCGUUAACAUCAAUAAUGGAAAUAAUUAAUAAUCCUUUUCCUUGUUGUGUUGUUGGAGCUGUGCUAUCAGUUACCAAAACUGUUAUACGAAUAACCUAUUAAAUAUUCGAAAUUAUUGUAUUUUUCUUUCUUUCAAAUAGAAAGUAUACUCCUUUCUUACCGCAAAUAUAUUUCUUUCUAAUUUCUUAUUGACAACAACUUUUCCAUUACGAUUAACUGCAAAAUAUUCUUUAAGUUCAUCAGCAUUCUCUAAUUCAUUGCCAUCUUUGUCAAUAGCUGUUAUUGGAUCGGUUGCAGCAAAUUCUAAUGCUGUAUGUGUAUCAACAUCGGGAUCAAUUGCUACCAAAGUGUAGACUACUGUGCCAACUGGGACAUCUUCUCGGACCUAAACAGGGGAAGUAAAAAAGUGUGGUUACAAACAUUGUUAAAUUAAGAUUUCAAAGAGUCUGAAUUGCCAAAAAAUUGUUCAGAAAUGUAUUCAAAAAUUCAAUUAUUGAUCAAAAAAAAAAAGUAAGAAGAAAGGUAGAAAGCUGUUUUUGAAACACUCGGAAAUUGAAAAAAAGAAAUGUGAAUGUUUGUAAUAAAUAAUAAAACCUCAAUAGAAAAGUGUUAUGAGGAGAGUAAGUUAUACACUUACCUCAGCACGUUGUGUAGCUGGUGUAAA